ACGGAGGAUCCGAGCGUUAUCCGGAUUUAUUGGGUUUAAAGGGAGCGUAGGUGGAUUGUUAAGUCAGUUGUGAAAGUUUGCGGCUCAACCGUAAAAUUGCAGUUGAAACUGGCAGUCUUGAGUACAGUAAAGGUGGGCGGAAUUCGUGGUGUAGCGGUGAAAUGCUUAGAUAUCACGAAGAACUCCGAUUGCGAAGGCAGCUCACCGGACUGCAACUGACACUGAUGCUCGAAAGUGUGGGUAUCAAACAGGAUUAGAUACCCUGGUAGUCCACACAGUAAACGAUGAAUACUCGCUGUUUGCGAUAUACCGUAAGCGGCCAAGCGAAAGCAUUAAGUAUUCCACCUGGGGAGUACGCCGGCAACGGUG
rnacentral:rRNA from 1 species